AACGACUCUCGGCAACGGAUAUCUCGGCUCUCGCAUCGAUGAAGAACGUAGCGAAAUGCGAUACUUGGUGUGAAUUGCAGAAUCCCGUGAACCAUCGAGUCUUUGAACGCAAGUUGCGCCCGAAGCCACUUGGUUGAGGGCACGUCUGCCUGGGCGUCACGCAUCGCGU
rnacentral:rRNA from 1 species